UAAUACCGGCGGCUCGAGUGGUGGCCACUUUUAUUGGGCUUAAAGCGUCCGUAGCUGGAUUCAUAAGUCUCCUGGGAAAUCCGCCGGCUUAACCGGUGGGCGUCCGGGAGAUACUGUGAAUCUAGGGACCGGGAGAGGUGAGAGGUACUCCGGGGGUAGGAGUGAAAUCCUGUAAUCCCCGGGGGACCACCUGUGGCGAAGGCGUCUCACCAGAACGGCUCCGACAGUGAGGGACGAAAGCUGGGGGAGCGAACCGGAUUAGAUACCCGGGUAGUCCCAGCCGUAAACGAUGCGCGUUAGGUGUACCGGUGACCAUGAGUUACCGGGGUGCCGAAGGGAAACCGUGAAACGUGCCGCCUGGGAAGUACGGCCGCAAGGCUA
rnacentral:rRNA from 1 species